CACUCCUACGGGAGACAGCAGUGGGGAAUUUUGGACAAUGGGCGAAAGCCUGAUCCAGCAAUGCCGCGUGAGUGAAGAAGGCCUUCGGGUUGUAAAGCUCUUUUGUCAGGGAAGAAACGGUGAAAGCUAAUAUCUUUUGCUAAUGACGGUACCUGAAGAAUAAGCACCGGCUAACUACGUGCCAGCAGCCGCGGUAAUACGUAGGGUGCAAGCGUUAAUCGGAAUUACUGGGCGUAAAGCGUGCGCAGGCGGUUUUGUAAGUCUGAUGUGAAAUCCCCGGGCUCAACCUGGGAAUUGCAUUGGAGACUGCAAGGCUAGAAUCUGGCAGAGGGGGGUAGAAUUCCACGUGUAGCAGUGAAAUGCGUAGAUAUGUGGAGGAACACCGAUGGCGAAGGCAGCCCCCUGGGUCAAGAUUGACGCUCAUGCACGAAAGCGUGGGGAGCAAACAGGAUUAGAAACCCUGGUAGUCCCA
rnacentral:rRNA from 1 species